rnacentral:rRNA from 1 species
AAGAGGGAAGAGCUCAAAUUGAAAGCUGGUACCUUCGGUAUCCGCGUUGUCCCCUCGAAAACACGUUUUCCGUGCGGCGCUAUGGACAAGUUCCUUGGAACAGGACAUCGUAGAGGGUGAAAAUCCCGUACUUGCCAUGGAUGUACCGUGCUUUGCGAUACGUGCUGCUCUAGAGUCGAGUUGUUUGGGAUUGCAGCUCAAAAUGGGUGGUAGACUCCAUCUAAAGCUAAAUAUCGGGGAGAGACCGAUAGCGAACAAGUACCGUGAGGGAAAGAUGAAAAGCACUUUGGAAAGAGAGUUAAAAGUACGUGAAAUUGUCGAAAGGGAAGCGCUUGAAGUCAGCCAUGCCGCUCAGGACUCAGCCUGGCUUUUGCUUGGUGUAUUUCCUGGGUAGCAAGUCAGCAUUGGUUUGGAUCGUCGGAGAAGCAUAGUCGGAAUGUGGCGCCCUCGGGCGUGUUAUAGCCUUCUAUUGGAUACGACGAUCUAGACCAAGGAACGCAGCGCGCCUUAUGGC